rnacentral:rRNA from 1 species
UACGGAGGGUGCAAGCGUUAAUCGGAAUUACUGGGCGUAAAGGGCGCGUAGGCGGCCUGUUAAGCCAGAUGUGAAAGUCCCGGGCUUAACCUGGGAACCGCAUUUGGAACUGGCAGGCUUGAGUGCAGGAGAGGAAGGUAGAAUUCCCGGUGUAGCGGUGAAAUGCGUAGAGAUCGGGAGGAAUACCAGUGGCGAAGGCGGCCUUCUGGACUGACACUGACGCUGAGGCGCGAAAGCGUGGGUAGCAAACAGG